ensembl:snoRNA Small nucleolar RNA SNORD47
GGCCGGUGAAGAAAACCUUCUGCCAUAUGAGUACACUGAUUAUACAGCAACCGUUCCAUUUAUUUCUGAGGCU